rnacentral:rRNA from 1 species
UACACUCCUGCGGGAGGCAGCAGUGGGGAAUAUUGCACAAUGGGCGCAAGCCUGAUGCAGCCAUGCCGCGUGUGUGAAGAAGGCCUUCGGGUUGUAAAGCACUUUCAGCGGGGAGGAAGGCGAUACGGUUAAUAACCGUGUUGAUUGACGUUACCCGCAGAAGAAGCACCGGCUAACUCCGUGCCAGCAGCCGCGGUAAUACGGAGGGUGCAAGCGUUAAUCGGAAUUACUGGGCGUAAAGCGCACGCAGGCGGUCUGUCAAGUCGGAUGUGAAAUCCCCGGGCUCAACCUGGGAACUGCAUUCGAAACUGGCAGGCUUGAGUCUUGUAGAGGGGGGUAGAAUUCCAGGUGUAGCGGUGAAAUGCGUAGAGAUCUGGAGGAAUACCGGUGGCGAAGGCGGCCCCCUGGACAAAGACUGACGCUCAGGUGCGAAAGCGUGGGGAGCAAACAGGAUUAGAAACCCCUGUAGUCCCAUG